GGCAGAUGUAGCCUAGUGGACAUGGCAUCUGCCUGGUAAACAGAACACUGUAGGUUCGAUUCCUAUUCCUGAACA
rnacentral:tRNA from 1 species